CGUAGGGGCCGAGCGUUGUCCGGAAUUACUGGGCGUAAAGCGCGCGCAGGCGGCUGGCCAAGCCCGACGUGAAAGCCCCCGGCUCAACCGGGGAGGGUCGUCGGGGACUGGUCGGCUUGAGGGCGGUAGGGGCCGGUGGAAUUCCCGGUGUAGUGGUGAAAUGCGUAGAGAUCGGGAGGAACACCAGUAGCGAAGGCGGCCGGCUGGGCCGACCCUGACGCUGAGGCGCGAAGGCGUGGGGAGCGAACGGGAUUAGAUACCCCGGUAGUCCACGCAGUAAACGAUGCAGACUAGGCGUGGGGGGACUUGACCCCUCCGUGCCGCAGCCAACGCGACAAGUCUGCCGCCUGGGGAGUACGGCCGCAAGGCUA
rnacentral:rRNA from 1 species